rnacentral:rRNA from 1 species
UACGUAGGGAGCAAGCGUUGUCCGGAAUCAUUGGGCGUAAAGCGCGCGUAGGCGGCCCUGUAAGUCCGUUGUGAAAGUCAAAGGCUCAACCUUUGAAAGCCGAUGGAUACUGCAGGGCUAGAGUCCGGAAGAGGCGAGUGGAAUUCCUGGUGUAGCGGUGGAAUGCGCAGAUAUCAGGAGGAACACCAACGGCGAAGGCAGCUCGCUGGGACGGUACUGACGCUGAGGCGCGAAAGCGUGGGGAGCAAACAGG